rnacentral:rRNA from 1 species
UAAAGAUUCAUCGCUGAUAGAUAGGCAUGCGUUCCAUUAGGCAGUUGGCGGGGUAACGGCCCACCAAACCGACGAUGGAUAGGGGUUCUGAGAGGAAGGUCCCCCACAUUGGUACUGAGACACGGACCAAACUCCUACGGGAGGCAGCAGUGAGGAAUAUUGGUCAAUGGGCGUAAGCCUGAACCAGCCAAGUCGCGUGAGGGAUGAAGGUUCUAUGGAUCGUAAACCUCUUUUAUAAGGGAAUAAAGUGUGGGACGUGUCCUAUUUUGUAUGUACCUUAUGAAUAAGGAUCGGCUAACUCCGUGCCAGCAGCCGCGGUAAUACGGAGGAUCCGAGCGUUAUCCGGAUUUAUUGGGUUUAAAGGGUGCGUAGGCGGCCUUUUAAGUCAGCGGUGAAAGUCUGUGGCUCAACCAUAGAAUUGCCGUUGAAACUGGGGGGCUUGAGUAUGUUUGAGGCAGGCGGAAUGCGUGGUGUAGCGGUGAAAUGCUUAGAUAUCACGCAGAACCCCGAUUGCGAAGGCAGCCUGCCAAGCCAUGACUGACGCUGAUGCACGAAAGCGUGGGGAUCAAACAGGAUUAGAUACCCUGGUAGUCCACGCAGUAAACGAUGAUCACUAGCUGUUUGCGAUACAGU